rnacentral:misc_RNA from 1 species
GACUCAUCAAAGUUUUCUGAUCUCACUCAUAAUUUGCAGCAAACAAUGUUGCAAUCUUAAAGAGCAAAGUGUAGAAAUUUUAUGAGAUAGAAGAUAACUAAAGAUUUCUGUUUAUUGGUCACAUAUAAUUAUAAAUCUUAGUUUCUGCUUGGAUUAAUUGCACAUGCAUCUGUGAUAAACUUGCCUAUUUGCGUUUACGAAUCAUAACUGUAAUUG